GGGGAAAGAAAAUGAUAUGACAUCAAGAACGUUCUUGUCAUCCUUAGAAUUCAAUCCAUCAGUCAAUUUUUACUCCUUUUUCUAACCUGGGAAUAUAAACAGAUUUUCACUUUACUUUGGUAAAUGGAAAUCCAAAAGAACAUUGACAAUUGUGAUUUAAAAAUAAGCUACUAAUUGUGGUGUCCGGCAAAAUUGAUGAAGAAUUGAUUUGGACCUAUACUUCAUUCUCCCUGUGCUCAGAUCAUAAAGUAUAGGUGCAAAUCGAACUUGAUUAUUUGAAGAAACU
rnacentral:misc_RNA from 1 species